CGGAGCUUAGUUCAGCUGGUUAGAAUGCCUGCCUGUCACGCAGGAGGCCGCGGGUUCGAGUCCCGUCGCUCCCGCCA
rnacentral:tRNA from 1 species